rnacentral:rRNA from 1 species
CCUACGGGAGGCAGCAGUGGGGAAUAUUGCACAAUGGGGGAAACCCUGAUGCAGCGACGCCGCGUGAGUGAAGAAGUAAUUCGUUAUGUAAAGCUCUAUCAGCAGGGAAGAAAAUGACGGUACCUGAGUAAGAAGCCCCGGCUAACUACGUGACAGCAGCCGCGGUAAUAAGUAGGGGGCAAGCGUUAUCCGGAUUUACUGGGUGUAAAGGGAGCGUAGACGGCAGUGCAAGUCUGGAGUGAAAGGCGGGGGCUCAACCCCCGGACUGCUCUGGAAACUGUACGGCUGGAGUGCAGGAGAGGGAAGUGGAAUUCCUAGUGUAGCGGUGAAGUGCGUAGAUAUUAGGAGGAACACCAGUGGCGAAGGCGGCUUACUGGACUGUAACUGACGUUGAGGCUCGAAAGCGUGGGGAGCAAACAGGAUUAGAUAUCCUUGUAGUC